AGAGUUUGAUCAUGGCUCAGAUUGAACGCUGGCGGCAGGCCUAACACAUGCAAGUCGAGCGGUAGCACAGAGAGCUUGCUCUCGGGUGACGAGCGGCGGACGGGUGAGUAAUGUCUGGGAAACUGCCUGAUGGAGGGGGAUAACUACUGGAAACGGUAGCUAAUACCGCAUAACGUCGCAAGACCAAAGUGGGGGACCUUCGGGCCUCAUGCCAUCAGAUGUGCCCAGAUGGGAUUAGCUAGUAGGUGGGGUAACGGCUCACCUAGGCGACGAUCCCUAGCUGGUCUGAGAGGAUGACCAGCCACACUGGAACUGAGACACGGUCCAGACUCCUACGGGAGGCAGCAGUGGGGAAUAUUGCACAAUGGGCGCAAGCCUGAUGCAGCCAUGCCGCGUGUGUGAAGAAGGCCUUCGGGUUGUAAAGCACUUUCAGCGGGGAGGAAGGCGGUGAGGUUAAUAACCUCAUCGAUUGACGUUACCCGCAGAAGAAGCACCGGCUAACUCCGUGCCAGCAGCCGCGGUAAUACGGAGGGUGCAAGCGUUAAUCGGAAUUACUGGGCGUAAAGCGCACGCAGGCGGUCUGUCAAGUCGGAUGUGAAAUCCCCGGGCUUAACCUGGGAACUGCAUUCGAAACUGGCAGGCUAGAGUCUUGUAGAGGGGGGUAGAAUUCCAGGUGUAGCGGUGAAAUGCGUAGAGAUCUGGAGGAAUACCGGUGGCGAAGGCGGCCCCCUGGACAAAGACUGACGCUCAGGUGCGAAAGCGUGGGGAGCAAACAGGAUUAGAUACCCUGGUAGUCCACGCCGUAAACGAUGUCGAUUUGGAGGUUGUGCCCUUGAGGCGUGGCUUCCGGAGCUAACGCGUUAAAUCGACCGCCUGGGGAGUACGGCCGCAAGGUUAAAACUCAAAUGAAUUGACGGGGGCCCGCACAAGCGGUGGAGCAUGUGGUUUAAUUCGAUGCAACGCGAAGAACCUUACCUGGUCUUGACAUCCACAGAACUUUCCAGAGAUGGUUUGGUGCCUUCGGGAACUGUGAGACAGGUGCUGCAUGGCUGUCGUCAGCUCGUGUUGUGAAAUGUUGGGUUAAGUCCCGCAACGAGCGCAACCCUUAUCCUUUGUUGCCAGCGGUCCGGCCGGGAACUCAAAGGAGACUGCCAGUGAUAAACUGGAGGAAGGUGGGGAUGACGUCAAGUCAUCAUGGCCCUUACGACCAGGGCUACACACGUGCUACAAUGGCAUAUACAAAGAGAAGCGACCUCGCGAGAGCAAGCGGACCUCAUAAAGUAUGUCGUAGUCCGGAUUGGAGUCUGCAACUCGACUCCAUGAAGUCGGAAUCGCUAGUAAUCGUAGAUCAGAAUGCUACGGUGAAUACGUUCCCGGGCCUUGUACACACCGCCCGUCACACCAUGGGAGUGGGUUGCAAAAGAAGUAGGUAGCUUAACCUUCGGGAGGGCGCUUACCACUUUGUGAUUCAUGACUGGGGUGAAGUCGUAACAAGGUAACCGUAGGGGAACCUGCGGUUGGAUCACCU
rnacentral:rRNA from 1 species